GUACGGACCGGUUUGGCUCGGUAGAGCAAUGCAUUGAAGCUGCAUGUGUCGGCAGUUCGAUUCUGUCCCGCGCC
rnacentral:tRNA from 1 species